ensembl:lncRNA
AGAAACGAGAGAACAGCGGCCCUGAGAGCACCAAGCUCAGGGCAGGAGGAGGGCAGGAGGCGCUCCAAUAGCAACGUGCAGCCCAGGACAGGCCCACGGAGGAGCAGGCCGUCCCCUGAGGCCGCGGGCACCGCACCGAGCAGAUCCCCGCGUGAAGCCACGGAGGGGCCGGCGGUGCAGCAGUGGAUGCGGCCUGAACGGUCCUUUCUCAGUGAGAAGCAGCAGCUGAAAGAGCAGCCGUGCUUUGAAAGAUGAGAACUGAAAAGAUAUCCUGAAUAAUGACUCCCAACUUGGUUUCAAGACUCUUGGUCCUCUGUCUCCCUUAUAUCCAGAAGAAGAUGAAGAUGGAAAGCUGAAGGAUCUGAUUGCCUCUCCUUGAUUCCGGAGCCUGUACCUGUGGAGUUCCCUGGGGUUAUUAAGACCAAAGUGUAGGACCCAGCACUUGGUGUUACUGAACUUCAUCCCAUUGACCUCAUCCCACCAAUCCAUCCUGUCCUGUCCAGAAUCCUCUGCAGGGUCCUUCCAUCCCCCAUGCAGAUCAACACUACCUCCCUGCUUUUUGUCACUUACUGAGGGUGCACUCAAUCCCCUCAUCCAGGUCAUCAGUAAUGAUAUUAAACAGGACUGACUCCAGGGAACACCACUCAUGAUCAGCCGGCAGCUGGAUUUAUCUCCAUUCACCACCACCCUCUGGGCCUGACACUCCAUCCCGUUCUUUAUACAGCAAAGAAUGUUCCUGUUCAACCCACUGGGUGACAGCUUCUCCAGGGGAAUACUGUGGGAGACAGUGUCAAAGGCUUUUCUGAAGUCUAGGUAGACUAUGUUAAUGGUGAUUACAUCAGCACUGUAUCCAUUUAUCCACACUUGCUACCAUUUCCCUUUAAAUGAAAUAUUUUGAAUUAUUUUAUAUGCAUUUAUAAUACACACUUGCUAUGCGAAGAGCUCCAUUAUUCAAAAUAACAACCUGGGGUAGGAUUGGCUAAUCACGUAUGAUAUACCACUGAAUAUUAUCAGUUGUUGAGAUAAGUCUCUCUUAUCCCAUUACAGAUGUACUGAGUCAGGCAGUGGCCUUUUCCAUGAAAUAAGAAAAUGUGUGCCUCAUCAGGUGGAGAAAAGGAUAAAUCAAAGAGAUGACAAGAAUGGAAGAGUGCUCAGUAGCCCUGUUCUGCCAUGGAGAAACCAUGCAAAUAAUUUUCUGUUGCCCUCCAAAUCUGUACUUCGGGUUUAUGACAAAUAUAAAGUAACUCA